rnacentral:lncRNA from 1 species
GCGACUGGAAGAAGUUUGGAUCGUUUCGGCGGUGGUGGGGAUUCAUGGUGACGAAGUAGAGGAGUGAGACGGUUGGUGUGGUUUGAGAUGAUGUUGUUGAGGUGAAGUUCGAGUGAGAAGGGAGAUCCCCUCUUUUCUUUUCCUUCUUUUCGUUUUGUAGUAGAAGGGGAAUGUGUCUCUUUUUUUUAUUUUUUUUCCUUUUAUUUUUCGUCGUUUUAGAGAGAUUAGGUGGAGAGAGAGCGGAAGUGGUGGAAGCAUCCGGAAGACGCGUAUGGGAGAGAGAAUAUCAAGAAAGAGAGACUCGUUUUUUUCCAGCUUUUUUUUUGUCACAGAGAGAUUGUGAUGGCAGUAAAUGAGUAGGUGAGGUGAGAGUUAUGAGUGGUUACCUUUUGAUUCUUUUCUUCUUUUUUUCCUUCACGUUGAGAGAGAGAAUUAAUGGACCUCUCCCUUGCCAGCUUUUUUCUUUAAUUUUCUUAUUUCAUUUUUUUUUACCGUUCGAAUGGGUUCCUUUCUUUGGUGGUCCCCUCCUCUUGUCCGUUGGAAGAGACGUUAGAGUGGAGGGGAGUGUCCUCUUUGGAUCACCGAAAAUCACCCUCCUUUCUCUCUUGUGAC